rnacentral:rRNA from 1 species
AAAUUGAAGAGUUUGAUCAUGGCUCAGAUUGAACGCUGGCGGCAGGCCUAACACAUGCAAGUCGAACGGUAACAGAAAGCAGCUUGCUGCUUUGCUGACGAGUGGCGGACGGGUGAGUAAUGUCUGGGAAACUGCCCGAUGGAGGGGGAUAACUACUGGAAACGGUAGCUAAUACCGCAUAACGUCGCAAGACCAAAGAGGGGGACCUUAGGGCCUUUUGCCAUCGGAUGUGCCCAGAUGGGAUUAGCUAGUAGGUGGGGUAACGGCUCACCUAGGCGACGAUCCCUAGCUGGUCUGAGAGGAUGACCAGCCACACUGGAACUGAGACACGGUCCAGACUCCUACGGGAGGCAGCAGUGGGGAAUAUUGCACAAUGGGCGCAAGCCUGAUGCAGCCAUGCCGCGUGUAUGAAGAAGGCCUUCGGGUUGUAAAGUACUUUCAGCGGGGAGGAAGGGAGUAAAGUUAAUACCUUUGCUCAUUGACGUUACCCGCAGAAGAAGCACCGGCUAACUCCGUGCCAGCAGCCGCGGUAAUACGGAGGGUGCAAGCGUUAAUCGGAAUUACUGGGCGUAAAGCGCACGCAGGCGGUU